rnacentral:rRNA from 1 species
GACGUAGGGCGCGAGCGUUGUCCGGAUUUAUUGGGCGUAAAGAGCUCGUAGGCGGCUUGUCGCGUCGGCUGUGAAAACCCGAGGCUCAACCUCGGGCCUGCAGUCGAUACGGGCAAACUAGAGUACUGCAGGGGAGACUGGAAUUCCUGGUGUAGCGGUGAAAUGCGCAGAUAUCAGGAGGAACACCGGUGGCGAAGGCGGGUCUCUGGGCCGUAACUGACGCUGAGGAGCGAAAGCAUGGGGAGCGAACAGG